UACGUAGGGUGCGAGCGUUGUCCGGAAUUAUUGGGCGUAAAGAGCUCGUAGGCGGUGUGUCACGUCGGCCGUGAAAACCUGGGGCUUAACUCUGGGCGUGCGGUCGAUACGGGCAUCACUAGAGUUCGGCAGGGGAGACUGGAAUUCCUGGUGUAGCGGUGAAAUGCGCAGAUAUUAGGAGGAACACCAAUGGCGAAGGCAGCUCUCUGGUACGUGACUGACACUGAGACGCGAAAGCGUGGGGAGCGAACAGG
rnacentral:rRNA from 1 species